AUGCCAUGGGCAGACAGCCGGAUAGAUAAUGGCAUGGCAGGAGCUCUAAGGAGAGUCUGUCUAAGGACAGACAACACUACAGGGACAAGAAAGGAUUCAGGGCUCCUGUGGCAGAAGUCGGGGGCUCAUACUUUUCUGAGGAUGGGGAAGUGGUUUCCCAGCAGGAAUCUUCCAGAACGAUCCAGAACUCCUGAUCCUCCUGCUUUCACCUUCCCAUCUGAACCACCAUGCUGGACAGGACACAUUUUGUUUCUGCAACUUUGAGAACCUUCUGAAGGUGGCCCAGGCAGCGAAAGAGGAAGUGCCCUUCGGUUUACCUCUGGAGCUUCCCGUCGCGUUAGGAUCACACAUGCCCUUCCUUGGUGCAGAUGAGGCAGAAAGGACCAUGGAGCCCUGCGGACCACCAAGAGGUUUUGAAAACUUGUGAGUAAACGGUGGAAUCCUCAGUCUCAAAGGAAAGUCUCAGCAAGUCCAACUGGAACUGGGAACCCGGCCUUUCCCUGGCCCUCUCUUGCUGUGGCAGCUACUGCUAAGGAAGACAAGGCCCCAAAGCGCAUAGCUCUCCUAAUUUGGACCACAUGGGAUCCUCUUUCUUCCUCCUGUAAUAACGGAUGUUGGUAACAGGGCCCCAGUAACAACGUCAGAGUCCCCAGCUGUCUAGCAGCACAUAAACUCUAAUGCCUA